AAUCAACCUUCUUCUUUGUCUCCAAGGGACAGCUCCUGUGGGGAGAUGAUGCAGCCCAUCAUGUGUCCUAACCACUUGAGGAGGGUUACAGUGUCCUCAGCCAGGGUGACCCUUGCAUUGGAAAGCCCAAGUAGCAACUGUGACCUUUGCUGGUCCUUCAGCAACACCACAGAAGCUCACUCUUUGCAUGUUGGAAACAGAAGGAAUGAAAGGGGAUGAGAGGUCCAUUCUCUAUGCAAGGAAUGGAAGCUACUCUUCAGAUCCUUCCACAGGCCUCUCACGUCUCACCUCCGAUUCUAGAACUCUUGCUCUAAUA
rnacentral:lncRNA from 1 species